GCUGGUGUAGCUCAAAGGUAGAGCAACUGUUUCGUAAUCAGUAGGUUGCAGGUUCGAUUCCUGUCACCAGCU
rnacentral:tRNA from 1 species